AACUACUAACUGGAUAAUUGAGUUUGGAGGAGGAUGGGAAAGCCACAGUACUGAUACAGCAGUUAUUAAACUCAGAUAUACUAGUGAUAAUGAUUGGUCUACUAGUGUAAUACCUCUGGACCAGUAUGAAGAUCAACUAAGAAGAAGGAUACUGAAUGAUUGGGAGGAUUUAGGAUUAAGCAAAGAGUUUCAAUUACUCAGAGGGCACCUACAAGAAAGAGAGAGAGAGUUCUAUCAGAAACAAAAGCAGAUACAGCAAGAUCAAGACAAAGAGCAGCAACAGCUUCUUCAAGAAAAGGCAACACUUAUUCAGCAACUUGUUGAUGCUACCACUCUCCUUGAGCAAGCAGAAAAGGAUAAAUCAACUGUUGAAUUAGAAGAUUAUGAGAAGCUUAAAGCUAAAGUUGCUGAAAU